rnacentral:piRNA from 1 species
AUCUAUAGAGCAAGGACCAGGACAGCCAAU